rfam:Lachnospiraceae bacterium COE1 genomic scaffold acPFN-supercont1.2, whole genome shotgun sequence.
GCUCCAUUAGCUCAGAUGGGAGAGCACUCGACUUUUAAUCGAGUGGCCAUGGGUUCGAGUCCCAUAUGGAGCA